AACAGCGCGGUACGGCCAUAUAGUGUGCGAGGCUACGUGUCUAAGAAGCCUCGUCUUAUGAGAGCUGUGAUACAUCCAUGUAUUCUUUUAGGUGGAGGACAGUCAGGCGAUAGGAGUUACAGAAGAGGAAGGGAGGAGAGAAGGAGAAAGAAAUGUCUGAACUGGCAAAGGGUUCUGGCAGUGCCGAGAGCAAGAGCUGUGUUUUGACAGCAGUUGAUAUACAACCUUAUGGAAAGCCCAGACCGUUGCACAUAGCUGGAGCUUGUAAGGAGAAGCAGCUGAAAUCAGCCGGAGCUUCAGUGCGGAGCUGGGGCUUCAACGAGCCAGAACUGUAGCAAGCGGGAGCUGGAACGAGGCGGGGUGUCUGCUGUCUGGAGCGUGCAUUAGCCAGAGGCAAAAGUACCUGCGGCUGUAACGAGCAGGAGGCGCGAUUAGCUGGAGCGUCUUUUCGCUGGAGCAUCCAUGGGCCGGACUGUGCUCCCAGCAUGGCCGAAGAGCGGCCGGGCGCAGGCAGGGCUGUCCGCAGCAAGCAGCUCCGAGCAGCAGGGAGGUGAGUUGUCCUUCUGCCAGCGGGGAGCCCGGCCUCUUCCCUCGGGCAUGCAAUCCACGCCGCGCUCCUCUCUCUGCGUGGAGGGUCUCUCCCGGUCCGUUCCCGCGGGCAGAAGCGAGGUGGGGGUCCCCCGUCUCUCCUGGGGCAGCCCCCCCUGCGAGGGGGCGCGGGCGAGGUGUCGUCGUCCCCUCGGUACCGGGCAAAGGGGAGAGAAACCGGCCGGCGGGAGCUCCUGGGGUGCAGAGCCCUUCCGGCAGAAUCCUCCCCUGUCUUUUCACCGUUGGCUGGGUGUGACAAACAGGUUCAAUUUUUUGUCUCCUCUUUUCCCAGUGUCACCUUCCGUGUCACAUGAAGAAAAUUCUGCAUGGUUUAAUUCCCUUUGCUGCUCAGGUGGAUGUCAGCUGCCACCAUUUCACUGUGGUUGCCCUUUCUUCUGCCGUGAAAGUACAAGACAGAUGGAAAGAUUCCGUAGUGGUCUGCAAGUACAAGGUUUUCCCCGGAAGCAUUAGCAGCCUUGUAACUAGUGACAGUGAGUCCUGAGGUGGUUUUGCUUUAUUCACCAAACAAGCAAGAUGCAAAGCGGCAGCAGCAGGAGCGCAAGGGCUGUAGCUGUUGGGGUGGAUCCGUAAGCGUAGAUUCUGAUUGCGUACGACCUCGUCCCGCAGCCUCCCAGGGUUAUCUCCCUGCAGCAGUGCUGUAAGGAAGGGAGGAGACGUUUUCCAGCACCGGCAAGAGUGUUUACUUGUACGCUAAGAAGGUGUUCAAAAUGGUAUCGAUUAGCCUAAAUGCUGAUUUUAAGUGUUCAAAUAGCUCUUAACUUUUAAAGGAGGUGGUGUAUUUCGAGCUGACCUGUUUACCUGGAAUCCUCCUUUAGCUCAGCGACUCUUCUUGUGCACCCCCAGCCUCUGCUGGCAGGGCGGUAUGAGAAGCUGGAAGGUCCUUGACUUAGUAUAAACACUGC